GCCCCGUUCGUCUAGUGGCCUAGGACGCCGCCCUCUCACGGCGGUAACACCGGUUCAAAUCCGGUACGGGGUA
rnacentral:tRNA from 1 species